rnacentral:tRNA from 1 species
CGGGAAGUGGCGCAGUUGGUUAGCGCACCACGUUAGGGACGUGGGGGCCGUCCGUUCGAGUCGGAUCUUCCCGA